CGAAGGGAAACCGAGUCUUAACUGGGCGUUAAGUUGCAGGGUAUAGACCCGAAACCCGGUGAUCUAGCCAUGGGCAGGUUGAAGGUUGGGUAACACUAACUGGAGGACCGAACCGACUAAUGUUGAAAAAUUAGCGGAUGACUUGUGGCUGGGGGUGAAAGGCCAAUCAAACCGGGAGAUAGCUGGUUCUCCCCGAAAGCUAUUUAGGUAGCGCCUCGUGAAUUCAUCUCCGGGGGUAGAGCACUGUUUCGGCAAGGGGGUCAUCCCGACUUACCAACCCGAUGCAAACUGCGAAUACCGGAGAAUGUUAUCACGGGAGACACACGGCGGGUGCUAACGUCCGUCGUGAAGAGGGAAACAACCCAGACCGCCAGCUAAGGUCCCAAAGUCAUGGUUAAGUGGGAAACGAUGUGGGAAGGCCCAGACAGCCAGGAUGUUGGCUUAGAAGCAGCCAUCAUUUAAAGAAAGCGUAAUAGCUCACUGGUCGAGUCGGCCUGCGCGGAAGAUGUAACGGGGCUAAACCAUGCACCGAAGCUGCGGCAGCGACGCUUAUGCGUUGUUGGGUAGGGGAGCGUUC
rnacentral:rRNA from 1 species